CACAUGUAAAUGAGUGAUUUUUCUCGACACACAGGGACUGCAAGAGAUCCAUCAACUUCAGUUGACUCUUUGCUGUUAGCGCAAGGGAAGAGUUCAUUUGCGAGGGAUAUUUAAUAUCUGAACUAAGUGCUGAAGCAUUCGCGUGACAUUUCAGAUUGAAGAUGGCCAAGUGGAUGUAUGUUUUUGCCAUUGUGGCUCUGCUGAUGAUUACUUUGGAUGAAGCGAAAAAGUCCGAGUUCCAAGACCAGACCAUCAGGAACAACGACCACAAAGUAUUCGAUGAGACCAAAAAAACCGCCGACAACAACUGGUCUGCCCACCAGUCGACCAGGAACAACAAACACAGAGUAUUCGAUGAAACCAGAAAAGCUGCCGACAGCAACUACGAUGCUGUAGUUGACGAAACAAUUCAUCCUAAGUCAGCAGAUGAAUGAGUAACAAAAACUGCGCAAUAAUGUUAUUAAGUAGUUCCAAAGCUAUUAAACUGCAAUAAUGUUCAUCAUCUGAUGGUAAUAAUUACUUGCUUGGGUUGUGCCCAUGUAUCAUAAGGUAGGGCUCGAGAAAAAAACAAUUAUUUAGAGAUUCUCUUAUUCCCAGAUUCUGACUUCAACUCUGUUUAGGUAGCAGCUGCUCAGGAAAACUGAGAUGUCUGCAAGUUAGACUACAAUUGGCGUUGUGUUUUUUUGUCGCUAAUAAUUUUAUUAUACAUAAUCGUUUUAACUCCCAUUUUAAGCAGCAGAGAAAUUAUUUAAGCCAGAAGAAUUUCGCAAACAAUGAUAGAAAGGUGUAAGCGAAUCUCAAGAUUGGUAAAUAUAUAGUCCAUUUAAAUUGAGAACUUUGUUAAUUGGAACGUUUUUGAUAACGAAAGUUUUGACAUUGAAAUCAACGUUUUCUUUACUGAUUGCAUGAAUGUCUGUCUAACUGACGACUGGCAUACCUGUUAAACCGGUUUUGUGAUAUAACAGUGGAAUUGUGAUAAUAAAGACGAAUAAUUUCGUUAUGUGAA